UACGUAGGGUGCAAGCGUUAAUCGGAAUUACUGGGCGUAAAGCGUGCGCAGGCGGUUUUGUAAGUCUGUCGUGAAAUCCCCGGGCUUAACCUGGGAAUUGCGAUGGAGACUGCAAGGCUAGAAUCUGGCAGAGGGGGGUAGAACUCCACGUGUAGCAGUGAAAUGCGUAGAGAUGUGGAGGAACACCGAUGGCGAAGGCAGCCCCCUGGGUCAAGAUUGACGCUCAUGCACGAAAGCGUGGGGAGCAAACAGG
rnacentral:rRNA from 1 species